rnacentral:rRNA from 1 species
AUACGUAUGUCGCAAGCGUUAUCCGGAAUUAUUGGGCGUAAAGCGAGUCUAGGCGGCUUGUUAAGUCAGAUGUGAAAAUGCGGGGCUCAACUCCGUAUUGCGUUUGAAACUGGCAGGCUCGAGUACUGGAGAGGUGGGCGGAACUACAAGUGUAGAGGUGAAAUUCGUAGAUAUUUGUAGGAAUGCCGAUAGUGAAGACAGCUCACUGGACAGAUACUGACGCUAAAGCUCGAAAGCGUGGGGAGCGAACGGGAUUAGAAACCCCAGUAGUCC